GACAUGGAGACUGAAAAACUCUCACCUCUGGAGAUGGUCUCACCAGCUCAAGACUCUCCUAAGCAGAAAAUGGACCCAAUAAUGUUCCAGUUCAGAACUUUGACACCCACACUGUUCAAGUGGGUUUGAAACGUGGCAAAAUAAAAUCCACCUGCCUUGAUUAUAA